rnacentral:lncRNA from 1 species
AGACCCCUGGGCUAACAGCCCAAGGGACCCACCUCAAUGGCCCCCACCUGUGUCCAUAUCAGCACGCCUGGACCAGCUCAGAACAACCACCCCCACCAAUGUCUCAGUCUCCGGAGAGGAUCCUCCUCUCACCAAGAUGCCCCCAGAGCCCACCAGUGACUCACAGCAGCCACGGGUGGCCCUUUGCACCAGAUCUCUGCUGGACCAUGGACGAGGAGGACUUGGGAGGCACACAGAAAACGCAGUUUCUGGAGCCUGGGUCAGACAGGGCCAGCCAGCUUCCGCCUUCCUCCUCAAUCCCAGAAAGCAACACAAAUCUUGCCUUUGAAAAGGAAACUGUCCCUUGCAUACAGAGUGGAAACUGUUUAUAAAUUCUUUUUUUUUUUAACCUGCCAGAGUAUUUAACAGAGUACUUUAAAGAGCAGAAAUUUUUAAUUUUGAUGACGUUUAAUUUCUUUUUUUUUCUUUUAGGGAUUGUACAUAUGGUGUCAUACUUAAGACAUCUUUGCCUAAUCCAAGAUCACAAAGAUGUUCUCUUAUGUUUUCUCUAGAACUUUGAUAUUUCAAAUUUUACACAUAAGUCUAUGAUCUAUUUUUAAUUAAUUGUUGAAUAUAUUACCAGGUAUGGGACAAGGUUAUAUUUUUGCAUAUAGAUAUCCAAGUAUUCAGCACCAUCAGUUGAAAAUACUAUUCUUUCUCCAAUGAAGUGCCUUUACAUAAAUCUUUGUCAAAAAUGAAUUGUCCAUACAUUUGUGUAUCUAUUUCUGGAUUCAGUAUUAUUUUUCAUUGAUCUUUGUGUCUCUCUUGAUGCCAGUACCACAUUGUUUUUGUUACUGUAGCUUUGCAAUAAAUCUUGAAAUCAGAAGGUAUUAGUCCCCGAAGUUUGUUC